UCCGACUUGACGUCGGCAGUCUCGUUAGAGUGCCCCACUUAAGGCUGGCAACUAACGACAGAGGUUGCGCUCGUUGCGGGACUUAACCCAACAUCUCACGACACGAGCUGACGACAGCCAUGCAGCACCUGUGUUACGAUUCCCUUUCGGGCACACCUCCAUCUCUGGAGGCUUCCGUACAUGUCAAGGGUAGGUAAGGUUUUUCGCGUAGCAUCGAAUUAAUCCACAUAAUCCACCGCUUGUGCGGGUCCCCGUCAAUUCCUUUGAGUUUUAACCUUGCGGCCGUACUCCCCAGGCGGAUGACUUAACGCGUUAGCUGCGCCACCGAAACGCUAAGCGCCCCGACAGCUAGUCAUCAUCGUUUACGGCGUGGACUAC
rnacentral:misc_RNA from 1 species